rnacentral:rRNA from 1 species
UGUUGAGGAAGAUAAUGACGGUACUCAACAAGGAAGUGACGGCUAACUACGUGCCAGCAGCCGCGGUAAAACGUAGGUCACAAGCGUUGUCCGGAAUUACUGGGUGUAAAGGGAGCGCAGGCGGGAAGACAAGUUGGAAGUGAAAUCCAUGGGCUCAACCCAUGAACUGCUUUCAAAACUGUUUUUCUUGAGUAGUGCAGAGGUAGGCGGAAUUCCCGGUGUAGCGGUGGAAUGCGUAGAUAUCGGGAGGAACACCAGUGGCGAAGGCGGCCUACUGGGCACCAACUGACGCUGAGGCUCGAAAGUGUGGGUAGCAAACAGGAUUAGAUACCCUGGUAGUCCACACYGUAAACGAUGAUUACUAGGUGUUGGAGGAUUGACCCCUUCAGUGCCGCAGUUAACACAAUAAGUAAUCCACCUGGGGAGUACGACCGCAAGGUUGAAACUCAAAGGAAUUGACGGGGGCCCGCACAAGCAGUGGAGUAUGUGGUUUAAUUCGACGCAACGCGAAGAACCUUACCAAGUCUUGACAUCCUGCGACGRUGCUGGAAACAGUACUUUCCUUCGGGACGCAGAGACAGGUGGUGCAUGGUUGUCGUCAGCUCGUGUCGUGAGAUGUUGGGUUAAGUCCCGCAACGAGCGCAACCCUUAUGGUCAGUUACUACGCAAGAGGACUCUGGCCAGACUGCG